GAUUGCUCGGAUCUGGUGCUUGACGGAGACUUGAGGUACAGAAAACUGAUGCUCAAGUGCUAAUCCCUCAAGUUCCAACAUUGAUGAAAUGCAAGUUUGACAAAAUAUAUCAGUUGGGUGACUCACUUUCUGAUACUGGCAACUUCAUUAGAGAGAGCCUCGUUGGAGCUUUUUCUCCCUUUGCAAAACUUCCUUAUGGUGAAAACUUUUUCCAGAACAAAUCAACUGGACGAUGUUCUGAUGGUUUGCUCAUGAUCGAUUUCAUAGGUACGCAUAGGGGUGUCAAAUGGGCGGAUUGGGUUGAUUUUGGACGGGUC